rnacentral:rRNA from 1 species
CCUUCGGUUUCAGUGGGCUUGGCGAGGGAGCAAGAGGAGGGUAAGGAGGGUGAGAGAAUAGGUGUGAUGUGUUGUAGUCUACGGUCGCAACCCGUCCGCCCCUGCCGCCGCUUCCGGAGGCCGCCAGCCUCGUCUAGCGGCCCGCACCCCUACCACUCGCCGUACCGAUCCGAGGUCGCUAGCGCCCGUAGAGGAGGUGGCGUAGGGGUGGUACCUGCCGGCCGGGGCUUGAGGAAGCUGCGGCGUAGGGACGGUACCUGCCGGCCGGGGCUUGAGGAAGCUGCGGCGUCGAUACCGCAGCAUACGCUCCAGCCGCACACCCCACCCCCUAGAGCCGCUCGAGGCGGCGGUAGACGGUGGCGGCGGCAGGGGCGGUUGGGCGUGCCGUCCUAGGGCUAGGGGCGAGAAUAAGGCGCAGACAGCAGUUCCUCCUCGUCGCGGCCUGCGACCUUCCAGGUCAUCGGCCCCGACGCCUCCUCGGCGCGGCCGGCGGCCCUCCAGGUCAUCAGCUCCGACGCCUCCUCGGCGCGUCUCGCGGCCCUCCAGGUCUGAUCUUCGGUAUCGGCGACCACGCACACACGAUAAGGACGGCGACCACGCACACACGGCGAAGGACGGCGAAGGACGGCGACCACUUACGCCCAACAAGGACGAUACCCUUUUCCGGGCAACCCCGCUACCUCUCUCCCACAAGCGCGACAACCCUCCCUACGAACCACAAGCCCGACCCCGAGGAGAGCAGGGCUUGAUUAAGCAAGCUAGCUACGGGUCUAAGGAAGGCUUGCUUAGCAAGCCACACCCCUCCAGGGUCUGGCUUGCAAGCCGGCAAUAGCCGCAGGUACGGAAUUGUAUGUUGUUGAAGUUACCCAACAUAGAUCAAACAGAUUAUCGUACACUCUAUUAUUUAUUUUAAGAGAGAGUAAAAUGUAACUUCAAACACAUUCCCCACAACCAAAUACAUGAGGGAAGCCAGAAAAAAUCAAGUGUAUAUUCUAAACAGACUUCAGUUCGAAGCAUUUCAAACUGGUUGAAAUAUCUUUUUUGUGGUUAUAAGUGUUGCACUUUAGUUAUGGUCGUAUACGCAGUACCGAAUUUCAAAGUAUAACAUAUUGAAAUUGUACCAUCUACAACUAUAAAAAAAGUAUAUUUAUACCAGUUUGAAACCCUUCAAAUUAAAGUCUGUUAAGAAUAUACGUCCCGUUUUUCUUGGCCUCCCUCAUGGAUGUUGGAAGGAAAGAAAGGAGUAAAUAACAUACUGUGAAGUAGUUCUUAAAAUACACCGUUUUAGAUGGUUGUUGAUAGAAUGUUGGUAAUCUCUACGGGAUUUCCGUAGAGGUUGUUGACAUUUUAACCACAACCAUUUAAACGGUGGAUUCUGUAUUACUACUACACCGUACAUUAUUUAUACCUCUCUCUCGUUUCAAUAUACAUUUAUUGGUUAUUAGAAAGGUGUUCGAGGUUCUACGUUAUCUCUCGUUAGUGUAAAUAAAAGAGUAGCAGAUAACCUAACGAAUCUAUGUCGGAUAACCUCACCAACAUACUAUUGAAUAACCAACUACUGCACUUGUAAAAUGGUUGUUCUGAUUAUAUGAUCUUCCACAUAGCCACGAUUUCUACGGUGUAUCUGUUUUUUUACACUGUGUCGU